rnacentral:rRNA from 1 species
GAUCCUGGCUCAGGAUGAACGCUAGCUACAGGCUUAACACAUGCAAGUCGAGGGGCAUCAGGGUGUAGCAAUACACCGCUGGCGACCGGCGCACGGGUGAGUAACACGUAUCCAACCUGCCCUUUACUCGGGGAUAGCCUUUCGAAAGAAAGAUUAAUACCCGAUGGCAUAACAUGACCUCCUGUUUUUGUUAUUAAAGAAUUUCUGUAGAGGAUGGGGAUGCGUUCCAUUAGGCAGUUGGCGGGGUAACGG